AUUGGGUUCUCCUUCCUGUUCCCUGCCUGUGGGGAGACACCCUUGCAGUCCCCAUCCUGGCACACCCAGCAUGGGCUCCAUGCAGAAGAGGGAAAGGUCUGCCCUGGAGGUCACCCAGGUCACCCCACUGGGGUUGAAAAGCAGCCCUGGGGAUGGAGCACCCAAAAACUGGAAGAUGCAGAAGGAAUAAGGACAUGCCUGUUCAGGCCAGGGCAGCCCGGUUUUGGUGAGGAGUGUGGUUUGCUGGACCCCUGACCUGUUCCCCUGCUGGGACAGCCCCAGAAAUGCUGGUCUGUAGAUCCUGGAUAGGUGGCUGUUUGGGAUCUUGGACCCCACCAAGCUCCCAGCACCCCGAGGCCCACACAUGCCACUUGGUCUCAGGGGACGGUAGAGCCGGAGCAGCAGCAGGGAAUAGAGGGGUGGGAGCACCAGGACACUGGCAGCAGUGUGGCUCAGUGUCCCAGGGGACCUGGCAGCACCCCAGUGUUUCAUCAACCAAGUGCUGAUUCCAUGCACUCCUGGAAAAGCCAGGAGAGACCUGUGCCAUGCACAGGAUAGCUCCAGGGUUGGUGGUGACCUGUGACCUGCUCACCAUGCUGCUCGUGGUUGGCAGGUGUGGAUGUGUGGAUGUGUGGCAGAAUCCCCGAUGCCCAUCCUGCCCACAGGGCUCUGCGUGGUGGGAUCAGCAGCACCUUCGACCCCGAGGAGCUGCAGAAAGUCCCUAGACAGCUCUGGUGUGUCCCUGUUCUUGAAAAAAGCAUCUGCCUACCCAUUCCCCACCUCUGGGAUCCUCGGCGUGGAGGCCAGGCAAGGAAAAAGGGAGUUUCUACCCAAGGGCUGGCAAGAAGGACACAAGGGAGGUGUCACCUGCCAGACCAUCUCCCCUUGGGGACUGGCUGGCAUGGGAGGCCAGGGCCAUGCUGGCAACAACAGGUGCCAGUGGGGGCAAGGGGUCAUCACCAGCUGCAGGCUGGGGGUGGCAGAGCCUCCAUCCAAAACGCCAGGGGGCUCUCAGUGCCUGGGAACUCCAAGUGUGGGUUUCCUGGCCCACAGGAGGACACGGAGGGGGUCUCACCCAGGGCUUGGGGUGAUGCUGUGUGUGCUCCCCAGGGUGCUUUGCAGGGACGCUGCCCGGCUGUCCCGGCUGCUGGUGGGCACGGGAGGUGCAGCCCGCGGGGACAGGCAGGCUCUGGCAGUGGGAGGGCUCCUGCAUUACAAUCCGGUACAAUCUGUCCCCCUUCCCGCUGCCCAGCCGUGGAGGAGACGGUUACUGUUUAAUCCCAUUUGACAGCUCUUUCAUCAUCUGCCUGCCUUCCUCCAGCUUCCCGUGGCUCCUCCAAGGCUCCUUUGUGGCCGUAAUCAAAGCCUGCAAUCCCCUGGGAAGCAGAGCACACACAUUUAGCCAGCACAGUCACGUUGUUCCCUGUGCAGUGUCCUGCAGCCCCAAGGAUGUUCCUCCUCCCAGGACAUGUCAUCCCUCGCUUGGAGAGAAAAUUAGGAAUUGGUUGAGUUAAUUUGCUGCAGAUUGUUCUUUGAGGAGCCAAUAACCAAAAAAGCUGCUGGAAAGCCCAACUUUCCUCCCUCCUGGAGACUUUCUGAAGGACUUUUUGGAGCUCCUUCCUCCUGGAGGCUUUCUGGAGGGUGGCUGUUGUCUUGUGUUGUGCCCCAAGGAAGGCAUGGGCUUCCUUUGAGGGGGAGCUUCAGUUGGCUCCCCCUGCUUCUCCUCCUGCCUCCUGCUCUCCCCCAAAUCUGUAGGAAGAAACAAGUAUAUUGUCUCCAAGCUAAAAACUAGAAAUGAUUUAUAUGUUUAUAAGCCCGGCUCUGGUUCCAUUUAUUUUGGCAAAGGAAUUGUUUGCAUCUUUGCAGAAUUCCUUCACCCAAACCACUCAUUAGAUAUGAAUUUAGAAACAGCCAGAGGGAGCGGGUGACUCAGGGGAAUUAGCAAGUGGCUUCUCAAAGACUUUUACGUCAAGGACAGCAGCUCGAUUCCAGAUCUCUAUGCCAGUGCCCAGAAGACAUUGUCAUCUAAUGCUGGGUCAGUGACCACAACUUGACCAGUGCAUUUGAGGACCUUGGUCCUUGACUCUGAGCUGGCAGGUGUCUUCACCAUGGGAAACCUCAGUCAAGGGAGAAGCCAGAAAAGACAGGAGGAGAAGGAUUCAGUCAAUGAUCUUUCACUGGACACAAAGGCAUCAGCUACAGGAGCUGACAGAGAAGUGAUAUUCCACCAGAGCUCUUUCACCCUGGCAUGGAGAUCCGGGAGCUUCUGGAAAGGACAUUUGAGGAGAGUCAGCCUUGAAGCCUGAAGAUGGGGAGAGUCUGUGAGAACUGGUCCCUCUGCUGUGGGUUUGAAGACCACUUUGUUUUUCACCUGGAAGCUAUUAAGAAAGUCAUGCAUGGACAAUAUUCCAGUUAUCACUUUCCUCUGUCAGACAAGAACCCACAAAGCAGCCGUCAGGUGUGACAAUGUCCCAUCACCUUGUCCUGACAUUACUGCUUGACUUGGGCUGGCACUGGGAAUGGGAGCAACCUCUGAGGCUGGUUUGGCUGAGGAGAUGUGUGCAUGGGGGAUGUUGCUCUUCUGAUGGCAGUGCAAGGGCUCUGGACACUUUCAGUGCUCUCAGAAAUGUGUGCUCAGGGCGAGGGGACAGGCAUGUCUUUUGUGGGAGAAGGUCUGUGAGGUGUGAGAGUGGCUGAGGUCCCCCUGGCAGGAGGACAGCCCUUCACCUGGACCAGGCAGCCCAGACUACCAGAGGUGUCCCAUCCUCUGAACCUCCACGAGUACCUGGCGCUGGUGUCCCCAACCUCCACAUCACCAGUUUGUCCUGGAGGCACAGCCAGAGGUCUGGCAGGUCCCUCCCCACGUGUGUCAGGCAGCUCGUGGUGCCACCAGGCUCCUGGUCUCCAUCCCCACUCUACCCCAACCUGCCCUGCGCCCUCGCCUCGGCAUGCUGGCUCGCUCCCGAGCCAACCUUGGCUCCUUGUCUCACAACUAGAGAUGAAAAUAAACUCCAGUGAAGGGUCCUUUAACUUUC